CCUACGGGAGGCAGCAGUGGGGAAUAUUGGGCAAUGGGCGCAAGCCUGACCCAGCAACGCCGCGUGAAGGAAGAAGGCUUUCGGGUUGUAAACUUCUUUUCUCAGGGACGAAGAAAGUGACGGUACCUGAGGAAUAAGCCACGGCUAACUACGUGCCAGCAGCCGCGGUAAUACGUAGGUGGCAAGCGUUAUCCGGAUUUACUGGGUGUAAGGGGCGUGUAGGCGGGAAAGCAAGUCAGAUGUGAAAACCACGGGCUCAACCUGUGGCCUGCAUUUGAAACUGUUUUUCUUGAGUACUGGAGAGGCAGACGGAAUUCCUAGUGUAGCGGUGAAAUGCGUAGAUAUUAGGAGGAACACCAGUGGCGAAGGCGGUCUGCUGGACAGCAACUGACGCUGAGGCACGAAAGCGUGGGGAGCAAACAGGAUUAGAUACCCGUGUAGUC
rnacentral:rRNA from 1 species